UGGACUGCGCAAAGUAGGCCCACAAGUUGGGCUUGUGCGCCGAGCAAGCUUGUGGGUUGCGCAAGGUUACCGUAGGGCGUGGGCUUGGGCCACAUAUGUGUACCCUUGCUGGGUGUGGGCCAGAUGGCGAGCACACAUUUAGGCUGGUGCGAGCAUGUGGGCUUCCCCUUGUGCUCAUAUGUGCGUGCACAAUACAUGCAGGGAGCCUUGUCCGCACAUGAGUACGGGUCUUCCUAAGGUGCGACAUGGGCUGACCUUUUAGCUUUGGGUGUUU
rnacentral:lncRNA from 1 species